rnacentral:rRNA from 1 species
UACGUAGGGGGCGAGCGUUGUCCGGAUUUAUUGGGCGUAAAGAGCGUGUAGGCGGUUCGGUAAGUCUGUCGUGAAAUCCUGAGGCUCAACCUCGGGCGUGCGAUGGAUACUGCCGGGCUAGAGGGUGGUAGAGGCGAGUGGAAUUCCCGGUGUAGCGGUGAAAUGCGCAGAUAUCGGGAGGAACACCAGUAGCGAAGGCGGCACUCUGGGCCGGUACUGACGCUGAGGAGCGAAAGCGUGGGGAGCGAACAGG